rnacentral:lncRNA from 1 species
AACAGUGAAGCUUCAUCAACCACAAUCAAUCGUGAAAAACAAACAUGCCCAGAAACAGCAAUUAACUAUACCAAUCGAAUCAGCAAAGUACGCCUAACACAAAUCCAGCAACCAUUAUCAUUAAUUCGGGCUCACAAAAGAGUAAUCAACAAAAACAAAUUUGAACAUAGAACUUUAAAGUCAAAUUUCUCUUAACACAAACAACCAUUUCAAGUGCUACAAAGUUCAAUGGAAU